rnacentral:rRNA from 1 species
AGUGAACGCUGGCGGUAGGCCUAACACAUGCAAGUCGAACGGCAGCACAGUAAGAGCUUGCUCUUACGGGUGGCGAGUGGCGGACGGGUGAGGAAUACAUCGGAAUCUACUUUUUCGUGGGGGAUAACGUAGGGAAACUUACGCUAAUACCGCAUACGACCUACGGGUGAAAGCAGGGGAUCUUCGGACCUUGCGCGAUUGAAUGAGCCGCUGUCGGAUUAGCUAGUUGGCGGGGUAAAGGCCCACCAAGGCGACGAUCCGUAGCUGGUCUGAGAGGAUGAUCAGCCACACUGGAACUGAGACACGGUCCAGACUCCUAAGGGAGGCAGCAGUGGGGAAUAUUGGGCAAUGGGCGCAAGCCUGAUCCAGCCAUACCGCGUGGGUGAAGAAGGCCUUCGGGUUGUAAAGCCCUUUUGUUGGGAAAGAAAAGCAGCAGGUUAAUACCCCGCAGUUCUGACGGUACCCAAAGAAUAAGCACCGGCUAACUUCGUG